UAUUUUUGCAGUUUUACAUUUAUAUUAUGGGUAUAUGAUCUUCAGCUGUAAAUUGUUUUCAAAUUUUUUGUAAUAAGAAUGAAGUUUGUCCGUUAGUUUUUUUCCAUAUCUGAAUUAAUCAGUGUUGGCCGCGUACUAGUUGUCAUAUAUAAAUUUUAGUACUUCUUAUGAUGACAAUACAGCAGUUUACUCAAGGAAUGGAGACGCAUGGAUUCACUUAUCUCACACGUGGGAAAGUAUCAACAUCCUACAUUAAUGGACUGGAGGAGGUCGAGAAUAUUGCAGGUUUAAUGCAGUCUACGUAUAAUAGUUACUCAAAGUAAUUAAAAUUCAAUUGAUAGAAGUGCAUCAAAAAGAUGGUGUCAUGAAACCCUGACCAUUACAUAAAAAGGCAGUACGGCAGAUCACUCAAGUCACGCUGAUACAUGAAUUCACAUUUCUCACGCGUGGGAUAGUAUCAACAGCCUACGUUGCAAAUGAACUAGAAGAUGCUGAGAAUAAUACGUGUUAUAUGCAAUAUGGCACUACUGCAGAUCACACAAGGCAUGCUGAGACAUGGAUUCACAUUUCUCAC
rnacentral:lncRNA from 1 species